GCCGGGUGCAGUGGCGCACGCCUGUCAUCCCAGAGGCUGGGGAGGCUGAGGCAGGAGGAUCUCGAGUUCAAAGCCAGCCUCAGCAACUUAGUGAGGCCCUAAGCAACUCAGCGAGACCCCGUCUCUA
rnacentral:sRNA from 1 species